GAUGAACGCUGGCGGCGUGCCUAAUACAUGCAAGUCGAGCGAACAGACGAGGAGCUUGCUCCUCUGACGUUAGCGGCGGACGGGUGAGUAACACGUGGAUAACCUACCUAUAAGACUGGGAUAACUUCGGGAAACCGGAGCUAAUACCGGAUAAUAUAUUGAACCGCAUGGUUCAAUAGUGAAAGACGGUUUUGCUGUCACUUAUAGAUGGAUCCGCGCCGCAUUAGCUAGUUGGUAAGAUAACGGCUUACCAAGGCAACGAUGCGUAGCCGACCUGAGAGGGUGAUCGGCCACACUGGAACUGAGACACGGUCCAGACUCCUACGGGAGGCAGCAGUAGGGAAUCUUCCGCAAUGGGCGAAAGCCUGACGGAGCAACGCCGCGUGAGUGAUGAAGGUCUUCGGAUCGUAAAACUCUGUUAUUAGGGAAGAACAAAUGUGUAAGUAACUAUGCACGUCUUGACGGUACCUAAUCAGAAAGCCACGGCUAACUACGUG
rnacentral:rRNA from 1 species